rnacentral:rRNA from 1 species
ACGCCCAACAGCUAGCCCACCUAAACAAUUUCAACAAACCCCUGUUAAUACCCCCUAAGUACCCUAGUAUUUAAAUUAAACAAACCAUUUUUCCCCCUUAGUAUAGGCGAUAGAAAAGGGACCCCGGCGCAAUAGAGAAAGUACCGCAAGGGAACGCUGAAAGAGAAGUGAAAUAACCCAGUAAAGCCUGAAAAAGCAGAGAUUUAAACUCGUACCUUUUGCAUCAUGAUUUAGCGAGUGUACCUCAAGCAAAGAGCACUUUAGUUUGACGUCCCGAAACUACGUGAGCUACUCCAAGACAGCCUAUUAAUAGGGCGCACCCGUCUCUGUGGCAAAAGAGUGGGGAGAGCUUUGAGUAGAGGUGACAAACCUACCGAACC